rfam:Triticum aestivum genome assembly, contig: Triticum_aestivum_CS42_TGACv1_scaffold_211593_3AS
UCGUGCCUAUGAUGAGUUGCACAACUAUUGUCGACAUCGUCUGACAAAUACUGUCAUGAUAUUAAUCGCAAAAUCUGAGGUUACA